rnacentral:rRNA from 1 species
UACAGAGGGUGCGAGCGUUGUCCGGAAUCACUGGGCGUAAAGGGCGCGUAGGCGGCCUGGUAAGCGUGCGGUGAAAGCCCGGGGCUCAACCCCGGGUCGGCCGUGCGAACUGCUGGGCUCGAGCACUGUAGAGGCAGGUGGAAUUCCGGGAGUAGCGGUGGAAUGCGUAGAGAUCCGGAAGAACACCGGUGGCGAAGGCGGCCUGCUGGGCAGUGGCGUAACAGCCAAUAGCUGACGCUGAGGCGCGACAGCGUGGGGAGCAAACAGG